rnacentral:misc_RNA from 1 species
GAUGAAGAACGUAGCGAAAUGCGAUAAGUAAUGUGAAUUGCAGAAUCCAGUGAAUCAUCGAAUCUUUGAACGCACAUUGCGCCCGCCAGCAUUCUGGCGGGCAUGCCUGUUCGAGCGUCAUUUCAACCCUCGACCUCCCUUUGGGGAAGUCGGCGUUGGGGACCGGCAGCACACCGCCGGCCCUGAAAUGGAGUGGCGGCCCGUCCGCGGCGACCUCUGCGUAGUAAUCCAACUCGCACCGGAACCCCGACGCGGCCACGCCGUAAAACACCCAACUUCUGAACGUUGACCUCGAAUCAGGUAGGACUACCCGCUGAACUUAAGCAUAUCAAUAAGCGGAGGA